rnacentral:rRNA from 1 species
GGCUGCAGUCGAGGAUCUUCGGCAAUGGUCGCAAGCCUGACCGAGCGACGCCGCGUGGAGGAUGAAGGCCUUCGGGUUGUAAACUCCUGUCGAGGGGGAGGAAGGGGCAACCUUGACCGAUCCCUGGAGGAAGCACGGGCUAAGUUCGUGCCAGCAGCCGCGGUAAGACGAACCGUGCGAACGUUAUUCGGAAUCACUGGGCUUAAAGCGCGUGUAGGCGGAUGGGAACGUCGGAUACUGAAAGCCCCCGGCUCAACCGGGGAAGUGGUGCCGAAACGACCUGUCUGGAGGGACGUAGGGGGAUCUGGAACUUCCGGUGGAGCGGUGAAAUGCGUUGAGAUCGGAAGGAACGCCCGUGGCGAAAGCGAGGUCCUGGACGUCUGCUGACGCUGAGACGCGAAAGCUAGGGGAGCAAACGGGAUUAGAUACCCCGGUAGUCCUAGCCGUAAACGAUGGGCACUGGGUAGGGGGCUCGCCGAUGGGCUCUCUGCCGUAGCGAAAGCGUGAAGUGCCCCGCCUGGGGAGUAUGGUCGCAAGGCUGAAACUCAAAGGAAUUGACGGGGGCUCACACA